UAUCACCUUGGUUGUUUGCAAACUCACCCAAGUGACUGUGUAAGUAGUGCAAUUUAAUGCUCAUUCUACAUCCAAGCGCUUGCAAACUCAAGAACAGCUCCUCCAUAUUUUCUUGAUAGUU